GGGGUUAGAAGAUGAAUGUUACUUUUACCCCCCUAUCCCAGUUCGUAAUUGAACCUGGGACUAAAGGGGGAUUUUGUCCCGCAAUUGGGACAAAAGGCCCCUCAAUUUAUUCGGGUUGCAAAUUGAAACUGGGAUAAAAGGGUACGUUCCGUGCGGGAAUCGAAAAAUAUCCUUUUAUCCCGGUUCCAGUUUGCAACCGGGAUAAAAGGGGGGCCUUUUGCCCCGGUUGCUAUUGGCACCCGGGACAAAGGGGCCUUCUCC
rnacentral:lncRNA from 1 species